GGGUCGUUAGCUCAGUUUGUUAGAGCCCCCCGCUCAUAACGGGGUGGUCAGUGGUUCGAGUCCACUACGACCCACCA
rnacentral:tRNA from 1 species